GUUAAAACCAAAUAUGAGAAGUACACAAAAUGUUGAUUAAAGUAAAAAACAAUAAGAUUCAACUCUGAUUUUAUCUAAAG